GUCGCUUCUCGGCUCAUGGCUAAAUUCAAAGUGUACUAGUUGUUAUCAGCUUAACAUCUGAUAGAUCCUACAUCUGGGAACAAAAAAAUUUAAACUGAUUUUUUGCAAAUGGACGAAAUGUUUUAGGGUUUUGCUCCAGCCCUUUCACGAGUUGUCCCGAUAUGCAGUAACACCGGGAAUUCGACUCAAAUUAU